AGUAUAAUUGCUAGUUCAUGUGGUAAGGGUAAUUUAAUUUUAUAAGGAACUGCCAAACUGUCUUCCACAGCUGCUGUACUGUUUUGUAGUCCCACCAGCAAU
rnacentral:pre_miRNA from 1 species